rnacentral:rRNA from 1 species
GAGAACAACGUACAACUCUUAUCGAUAAGCCAUUGGAGGGCAAGUCUGGUGCCAGCAGCCGCGGUAAUUCCAGCUCCAAUAGCGUAUAUUAACGUUGUUGCAGUUAAAAAGCUCGUAGUUGAAGUGAGGGAGUGUGUGGGUAUGAGAGCUAGUCUCAAGUACUUACAACCUCCCCCCUCCAAUCGGUGUAGUGGGGUAUUCAGUUAUUCUACUACUCCUUUGGUCGUUUACUGUGAGAAAAUUAGAGUGUUCAAAGCGGGCGUUUGUUUGAAUAGAUUAGCAUGGAAUAAUGAUUGAAGGCUUUCGUGUUCGAUUUGAUUGGUUUGUUCAUGGAAGCAAGGUUAAAAGGAACAGUUGGGGGUAUUCAUAU